GUGGAAUGUAGAACAUUGUCUUUCCUCAAAUGAGGGAAGCGCACAACCACACACUGACACACACAUACACACGCGCAAACACACGAAUCCAGAAAAAAACACACUGGAGCUUGCACUUCAAUAUGCAUGAAACUCACAAGGUUGUAAACAUACACAGACAAAAUAGUGCACACUUGCAUGUAAGUACUGCACACACAUGCCCACACACAAACACACACACGCACACACUCACUCACACACAGUCUCCCCAGUCUCAGAAACAUUGAUUGGGCCUCCCUCUCAGGUUUGCUUGCCUCUCCCAUGAUCAAUCAGGGAGUUUAUAGACCACAAUGUGUGGCAGCUUGUAUUGCUCUUUCUCCCUCUUCGUUACCGAUCAGAGAAAAUCCCACUCUAAGCAAGCGCAAAGCACAUUCAUACAAUUUUAAUGACUCUUAAAUUAACCAUCAUAUUUUUGCUCCACUCCUUCACCGACUAAAUCGCUUAAUAUGCAUCAACGCUGGCCUCACUUGUGGGUUCGCCGUGACAUUUUUAUAAUUCCUUUGCAGGGGCAUUGUGUUUAUUUAUGAGCGUGUAGGCUUUUUUUGGCUGAUAAAUGGCACAAUUAAACAGUGCUCAGACACUCGAGCAGGCGUUUCAGAGUGCUGACAGAUUUUUAGUGUCCUCUUCCUUGGCUAACGAUGAAAGUAAAUAAUGUCUUAACGAGGUUGCUGGAGCAGUUGUUUGAGGAUUCAUUUUAUAUUUUACAUUUGCUUUGAGCAGCAAUGGUUGAACAGAAAACAAAAGUACGGUUCACAGCCUAGAUUUUCCCUCUUUGAACAUAAUUUAGUAGCUUGUUAACAAAUUCCUUUACAAUUAUUACCAAGGUUGAAAAAAGGAAAAUUGAUUUUUUUGAGCAUUGUGUUCGCAGAGAGCAGACCUCUUACAUUAUUCAUAAUAUCCUACCUUUCUCCAAAUUCAGCGCCACUUUUUUUGCUUUAUUUUUAGGCUUAAGGUAUCUUUUUCUUUCCAUUAUGUUAUGCACAACAUAAUUGGAAAGCAGAGCCAGAUGAAGCAUGGUACAGAGGUGUUGAGAUGCUGUUCACAGGUUGCCACCGAACUUGAAUCUCCUGACUUCCUGUAUGCAUAAUUCAAGGGCCCUUAUUGGCUGCUGUGGGUUUAGUGAUGAGAGCAGCCUGACGCAAUGCUCGGCAACAGUGUUUUACAGUAUUGUUUUACAAACUAUUGUAAGGCAGGGUUAGAACAAGGCAGAGUAUUAGCCAGGCCCUGGGAGGAGGGAGCUUUAUGAGCCCUCUGAGGCUGGCUGGGGAGCGCCGGGGCUCCUGUGCAGUUAAGCAUUGGGCUCCAGUGCUACAAGCUGCCCCUACAUUUACAGGAUGCCCUUGGACGGAGGAUGUGUGUGUGAGAGAGAAAGUGUGGAGCAUGCAUGCUCAUGGGCUAAUGAGUGCAUGUGUUAAUGCCUGUGUGUGUUUGUGCGCACAUAUGAGUGUGCACAAGCGAGAUGUUGUUGGGUUGAGUCAGUCUCCAGAGGGAAGGAGAAGGACAAAUGCUCCUUAAAAAUAGCCCCUGGGCAGCUGGUGUACACAGUCUAUCAGCAGUCCGUCCCUGGGGCCAAGGAGGGAGGGAGGAGAGAGGGGAGGAUGGAGAGAAAGAGAGAGAGAAAGACAGAGGAUGGAUGUAUGGGAGAGGGAAAAGAGAGAGAGAGAGAUGUGGAAAAAUAGGGUGGAAAAUGGUUGGAUUGAAAAGACAGACUGGAGAAAAUAUUACACAUAGGGAUAAAAAUGAUAACUCUCCCCUCAAGAAAGAGAGAAGAUAAAAAAAAGGGAGGCAAAAGUCAAAGAGAAAAAGGAGAACAAACUCAGAUAGUCAGCGAAAGAGAGACGGCGAAAGAUGGAGAGGGGCUCCCAGUCCCAGUUGUGAAUGCUCUGGAGGUCACAGUGAAGGGAUAAGGUUUUAGAGAGAGCAGCCUCGUCCCCAGACAUCUUCAGUUACUAAUAUACCAGCGUGUGUUUCGCUAAAUCGCUCCCAGUCGGCAAGAGUAGAGAUCCUUGAGACCCACUGAGACCCUUUAUGGAAAUAACUCUACCCCAUUUGCUCUCAGUAACUUGCUCUAACAUUCUGUGUGUGUGUCUGCGUAUGCGUGUGUCUGUGGGGGUUUGUGUAUAUUUCAAUUGCUCAUUGAGCAUUUGCGUGCAUAGUUUUAAUGGACAUGCACAUAACGGAUAGAUGGUUUUUACAACUGUUUAAUCUACUGGGAGCAACAAAAUCAUCAAGCUAUUAGAUAUUUAUGGCACUGGAACGCUCUGAUUUGAAGGCUGCCGAAUGCACUUUUUGUGAUCUCAGGUAUGGCAUUACCACACACUCAAAAAAUUUAGAUUAAACCCAGACAUGAGAGAGGAAUCUCAGAAGAAAUAUCAGGUAGAGCAUAGUUAGCAGCAUGCGACUGGGAAGGAUUGUGGGUGUAUUUCAACUUUAAAUGAGAAAUAAAGAGCUGGAAGUUAUUCGAUGGUUGCCUGAAGGAUCCCACACUCUCACUGUAUCAUCAACACACCAAUUAGAGCUCCAGACUGGGAGAGGAUCAAUGCCUUUCUGAGUGACUCUGUGUGUGUGUGUGUGUGUGUAGGUGGAUAGUGUGUGUGCAUGUAUAGAUGUAUUUCGUUAGUUCCUCCACUGAGCUAAUUGAGCUGUUUUUCCUCAACAGUUGGGAGCUCUUAUGCUGCGGACAGAUGCCCUUGGGCACAAGGUGUGUGUAUGUGUGUAUGUGUGUGUGUGUGUGAGUUUUGGCCACGGUGAGCAUGUGUUCCUACAGUGAUUGUGAGAGUUCGUCAGAGCAUUCCAAAAUGAAAAACCUGUGUGUUAUGUGUGUGUAUGUGUGUGUAUGUGUGUGUGUGGAAUGCAGGCCGUAGGUCUGUCAGUGGUGUAUUUAGUGGUCUCCAGGCGUCAUUAGUG
rnacentral:lncRNA from 1 species